GAUAAACGCUGGCGGCGUGCCUUAUGCAUGCAAGUCGAACGAGACCAAGGCUUCGGCCUGAAGUCUAGCGGCGGACGGGUGAGUAACACGUACGUGACCUGUCCGGAAGUGGGAAUAACCAGCCGAAAGGUUGGCUAAUACCGCAUACGGUUACUGCUUGGAAGCAGCAAACCAAAGUACGCAAGACGCUUCCGGAGGGGCGUGGCGGCCGA
rnacentral:rRNA from 1 species